rnacentral:rRNA from 1 species
ACGCACGCUGGCGGCGUGCUUAACACAUGCCAGUCGCACGGAAAGGCCCUGCUUUUGUGGGGUGCUCGAGUGGCGAACGGGUGAGUAACACGUGAGUAACCUGCCCUUGACUUUGGGAUAACUUCAGGAAACUGGGGCUAAUACCGGAUAGGAGCUCCUGCUGCAUGGUGGGGGUUGGAAAGUUUCGGCGGUUGGGGAUGGACUCGCGGCUUAUCAGCUUGUUGGUGGGGUAGUGGCUUACCAAGGCUUUGACGGGUAGCCGGCCUGAGAGGGUGACCGGCCACAUUGGGACUGAGAUACGGCCCAGACUCCUACGGGAGGCAGCAGUGGGGAAUAUUGCACAAUGGGCGGAAGCCUGAUGCAGCAACGCCACGUGCGGGAUGACGGCCUUCGGGUUGUAAACCGCUUUCGCCUGUGACGAAGCGUGAGUGACGGUAAUGGGUAAAGAAGCACCGGCUAACUACGUG